CUCACGCAGGAGAAACUCCGACACUCAUAACUGCUCCGUCACCUCAUUUCUGUCCAGUUUUUUAAAACUAGCAACACUAAAAGGAGAGCCAAAAGGUCUUCUCUCAGGUGCAGGAUAUAUGGUGACCAGUUAUCCUUUGGCAAACUGGCACACAACAGAUUGGGGGAUCCAUCUGUCCUUGUAAGAGGAGGGCAUCUCUCGCUCUCUCUCAGGAUAUGACACUGUGAGUCCCAGUUGGUUUUCAGUACGGACUGGAGAGCACCAGAGCGAGGGAGAACGCACGAGGGAUCCAUCUGAGAAACAUUGCAAACCUCAGGCCUGUUGUGUCUGGAGCUGUGAUGCUUUUAUUUCAUCUUGUCUCGACUGUUGUAACUCCCUCUUCACCUGCCUCAGCAAAACAUGGACUGGACUGCUUACAAGUAGUCCAAAAUAUUGCUGAUAAGCUAUUGACCAGGUGCCAUAUUCACAAAGCAUCCUAAGGCUAAAAGUAUAUUUAAAAAAAGUAGAAACUCCUUAAAAUAAUGAGCGUGUCAGUCCUAACUUUAGUCCUAAGUUUUUAUUGUGUGAGUAAUACACAAACAUUUUAAUGCUAAAAGUAGCUCCUAUAAGUCUGAGAGAAGUUAGAGGUUAGAGGCCUUUGGACUCCCAAGUCAGUAAAACCCUCUCAUAAUCAGUCAGCUGCUGCAGGCAAUGAUCCUCAUUGUGGUUUUUUGGAAAAAUACAACAACAAAAUUUUUUUAAAGCACAUUUAGAUAGUGGUCAAGCUAAUGAGGACCCAAUUAUCUCACCAACAAAUUGAAACAGUCCAAUCCAAUUACAUCUAUCUCUUUCUUUCCUUCUCUCACAUUGACAGAUACAGAUCGGUCACUUGCCAACUAGUCACUGUGGACUUUAGUGAUUAAGUUCUUUCAUGAAACAUGUCAUUCAUAGCAACGUGGUCAAACCCACAACUUCUCUUAGCUUAGGAGUUUUCUCAGUUCCUUACUGAAAGUUGCUCUCGGCAUCUUUGUCAAAAUGUCGUCAGAGGAAAAACUUGGUUAGGAACUUUUAGCACCAUGUAGGAGGACUCAUAUAACGUUAAGAUAAAAUCCUUUGUGAAUGUAGCCCCAGGUUCUCCAAAAAGGUCUCAUUUGACACCAAUCUUGAUUUUUUUUUUUUUUACACUUUCUUAUCAAAUUCUUGUAAUCACUUGUAGAUUUGUUGGUUGUUCUUCACUCCAGGCUUAAAACUGAAGGAGACUGUGCUUCUGACAUUUGGACUUAAGAUCUGUGGACAACCUUAAACAGAAGCUCAAGACCCUCUUGUCUAGACUUGCACUAAGACUUUCUUUCUAUUUCUUUUGUUUUUACUCUUGUUUAGUCUUCAUUUUAUGUCCCUUGCUGUAUUUUUUUUCUUAUUGUGAGGCACUUCUUCUCAAGAAAGGUGUUGUCUAA